CCUGCAAUGAGAUGGAGCCCAGGGGCCAGGCUGUGGGUGGAGGCUCUGGGUGGGGCUUGUCAGGGCCAUUACUGCUCAUUCACACCUGCAGGUACUCCCAGUCACCUUCUUUUUCAUGAUAAUUAUGCUUCCAGUUGCAAAAAGAGCAAGAAAAAAAGCACGAACAGUAAACGUAUUGAUGAAUGACUUCAAACAAUGCUAAUCAACAGUGUGAGAAGCCUGCAAGAUAGAACAUUGACAGGCAAGUAUCUGCAGCUGCUCUUUUGUUGAAAGUUCUGACAAUGAGAGAUUCCACCCACCAAGAUUCCCAAGCUUUCCACGGCAAGAGUUUCAUCAUCUAAACAAGGAAAUACCAAAAGAAAUGAAAUCACAGAAAUUAAGGGUACAAAUGGUUUGCACUGCUCAAGAAAAGGAUAUCUGCUGUGCAAAUCAUGCAUCCAACAAGAACUGAAGCUUUCUGGCAAUCCCUGGAGGAAAGGCCCUGAUUUUAAUCUCUCACUAAGGCCAGCAGCGCCUUCACUUUGUUCUACAACAGCCCCUCAACAAGUGCUUACAUUCCACUGAAGGAAUGCAGCAUAAGGAUAUGUUUACAGUUAAGCACAAAGUCACAUAUAUUUGGGGAAGGAAUGAAUUUACAUAUAUGCUUAAGUGCUUUGUUGAAAUAAGGCCAGCACAGUAAAUGUGUGUGAAGAUAACAGAAUAUAGGAGAAAAUCCUCACCACACGGAAACAGAAACAACAUUCCUAAGCUGAAUGGAGCUUUACUGCAGGAUUUGAGGGUAAAAAACAUAAACUGAGAAGCCAUCCUUGGCAAAUCUGUGAGCUUUUUGUGUGUGUAUCUGUUUUGGUGGCUUUGCUGUUGUAAGCUGCUAAAUAUGUAUUGGUGCUCAGCUGAGUUGAAAUUUAGAGUGGCAUGUUUUGAAGGACCUUAAUAAAGAUGUCUUACUCUUUAAAUAACAUUUUAUUAACAAUAAUGACAAAUUCAACAUUUUAAGAUGAGAAACUCAGAUAUUUCAAAAUUAAUUUUUCACAUUGAAAAGGAAACAUUAAAAAGUUUUCCUUAAGCCAUUGCUAUUACUCUCAUUAAAUGUAUUUUUUGUAAUAUUCCUAGGAAAUCCUGACUAUGAAUAACUUUAGAAUCAAAUAGUGUCACAGAAGCAAGACUCCACUCAAUGAAAAAUUACUAUAGACAAUGAUAGGUAGUAAAAUAGGGCUUCUCCAUUAAGAAUUAUUAUAAGUGACUUUAUUACAUCAUUGUGCCCCCAUUGCUUAGGUAAGAAACAGUCAUGUUAAAUCUUUGUUGACAAAAUAAAAUUACAGAAGAGCUGCACAGCUG